rnacentral:lncRNA from 1 species
UCCCAGGAGGAAAGUAUUAGCCAACUCAGUUAGGAAGUCAUGAAACCACUGUUCGUAAGCCACAGAACAAUUUAUGUCUACCAAGAGAAUGAGAGAUCGAUCUCAUAGUCUGAUAUUUAGAAUAUAUGAGAGUGAUAUUGAUAAGGUCUUAAUGUGUGUAGUUUUACCUCACUCGAACUCUGAUCUCCAAGUCGCAAAGGAGCAACAUUUCUGCUCUAUCCAGAUUACAUUUCUGCUCUAUCAUCAUAAAUCAACCAGCUUAAACUCUUAUAUUGUAUUAUAGCUAAUGUAUGCUUUCUCUGAUUACAUACCUUUUUGUGGUUUUGGGGAUUGCAGAUGGUGCCUCCUAGUUAUGCCAUUAUACGUUCCCAAGGAGAGGAACUGGAGAAGGCAACAAAGGAGUUCAUCGAGGUACUAAGAAUACUGGAGAAAGGAAUCAUGGAGGACUU